rnacentral:rRNA from 1 species
UACAUGGGGUGCAAACGUUGCUCGGAAUUAUUGGGCGUAAAGCGCGCGUAGGCGGUUAUCUAAGUCGGAUGUGAAAGCCCUCGGCUUAACUGAGGAAGUGCACCCGAAACUGGAUAGCUAGAGUACGAAAGAGGGUCGCGGAAUUCCCGGUGUAGAGGUGAAGUUCGUAGAUAUCGGGAGGAACACCGGUGGCGAAGGCGGCGACCUGGGUCGAGACUGACGCUGAGGCGCGAAAGCGUGGGGAGCAAACAGG